GGGAGAAGAACCCGCUCUUAAAAGAAAAAUGCUCUUAAAAGAAAAAUGCUCCUCUCAAUCUCAAAUCCAUUAGGGAGAAGUCUCAGAGGGAGCUCGUAAACUUGCUUAAAGACGUAAAUCUCGUUACUCUCUUGGAUACGAAUCGCAAUGUCUUGCUUGGUCCUUGUUAUCAAUUAUCAAUUGGGAACUUGGUUUGGAAUUACGACAUCAAGUUUUCUUUUCGUUCCUGGGUUGAAGGAGAACGUGCUGAGUUUUGAUCAGUUGACAGCGAGAGGCUAUACGGCAAGAAUGGAACCACCAAAGAAAUGCACGUUUGACGACAGGACUGGGGCUGUGUUUGGGGAGCAUGUGUGGGAUGAGAGAGGACCAGCUCUGCGUUUGAAUGUGGUUGAAGGUAGUCUCACCUUUUAGUUUGGCUCUAUGCUUUUCACUUUGGUACUGGACGUAAGUCGUAUGGUGGACGGACGUAUGUGUUGUUUUUUCUCUUUUGGUUUGGUGUUUUUUCAGUUUGGUCGUUUUAUUCCUAGUUUGCUUACUGCAGUAGUAUGACUCAGUCUGUUGUCUUGUAAACCUUGG